rnacentral:rRNA from 1 species
UACGUAGGGUGCGAGCGUUGUCCGGAAUUAUUGGGCGUAAAGAGCUCGUAGGCGGUGUGUCACGUCGGCCGUGAAAACCUGGGGCUUAACUCUGGGCGUGCGGUCGAUACGGGCAGGCUAGAGUUCGGUAGGGGAGAUCGGAAUUCCUGGUGUAGCGGUGAAAUGCGCAGAUAUCAGGAGGAACACCGGUGGCGAAGGCGGAUCUCUGGGCCGAUACUGACGCUGAGGAGCGAAAGCGUGGGGAGCGAACAGGA